UCCCCGGUAGCUCAGCGGUAGAGCAAGCGGCUGUUAACCGCUUGGUCGCUGGUUCGAGUCCAGCCCGGGGAGCCA
rnacentral:tRNA from 1 species